rnacentral:rRNA from 1 species
ACGGAAGGCAGCAGUGAGGAAUAUUGGUCAAUGGGCGAGAGCCUGAACCAGCCAAGUCGCGUGAGGGAAGACGGCCCUAUGGGUUGUAAACCUCUUUUAACCGGGAAUAACGUUACCUUCGUGAAGGUAAGUGCAUGUACCGGUUGAAUAAGGAUCGGCUAACUCCGUGCCAGCAGCCGCGGUAAUACGGAGGAUUCGAGCGUUAUCCGGAUUUAUUGGGUUUAAAGGGAGCGUAGGCGGGAAGUCAAGUCAGCUGUGAAAUGUAGACGCUCAACGUCUGCACUGCAGUUGAAACUGGUUUUCUUGAGUGCGUAAGAGGCAGGCGGAAUUCGUCGUGUAGCGGUGAAAUGCUUAGAUAUGACGAAGAACUCCUAUUGCGAAGGCAGCUUGCUGGGCAGCAACUGACGCUGAAGCUCGAAGGUGCGGGUAUCGAACAGGAUUAGAUACCCUGGUA